rnacentral:rRNA from 1 species
AUUGAACGCUGGCGGCAUGCCUUACACAUGCAAGUCGAACGGUAGAGGGGGCAACCCCUUGAGAGUGGCGAACGGGUGAGUAAUGCAUCGGAACGUGCCCAGUAGUGGGGGAUAGCCCGGCGAAAGCCGGAUUAAUACCGCAUACGACCUACGGGUGAAAGCGGGGGACCUUCGGGCCUCGCGCUAUUGGAGCGGCCGAUGUCAGAUUAGCUAGUUGGUGGGGUAAAGGCCCACCAAGGCGACGAUCUGUAGCUGGUCUGAGAGGACGACCAGCCACACUGGGACUGAGACACGGCCCAGACUCCUACGGGAGGCAGCAGUGGGGAAUUUUGGACAAUGGACGAAAGUCUGAUCCAGCCAUGCCGCGUGCGGGAAGAAGGCCUUCGGGUUGUAAACCGCUUUUGUCAGGGAAGAAAUCUUCUGGGCGAAUAACCUGGGAGGAUGACGGUACCUGAAGAAUAAGCACCGGCUAACUACGUGCCAGCAGCCGCAGUAAUAC